GGCAGCUCUUCCUUCCGACACGGCUGCUUCAAGAUUAUCACUCAACACUUUCCAUGCAGCCCUCAUUGUCUGUAUUUGAACCCGAAUGGCAUCUCGAUCCUUUGUCUUCCAAUCAACUUCUGUCUGAGCACACUUAAUCUGCUCUCUUAUAUUUUUGUCAUCGAAUCUAGGUACCUUAACCAAAAAGUUAAACGGCCUUGUUCCUGCCUCAACCCCUACAUUUUGCCCCGUUAUAGUGUCACCAGAACCUUCUGGAGAAAUAGGUGAAGGUUCAUUCUGGCA
rnacentral:misc_RNA from 1 species